rnacentral:snoRNA from 1 species
GUAACAGUAAUAAGAACUUUAUAUUGUCUAGAAGAGAGGUGACGACUUAAAAAUCAUGCUUAAUAGGAUUUCACUGAGGUCC